CCACCCCCACCAUUGCCAAGUUCGUUUCCUCCUAUGUACACAAAUACACAAAUUCGACGCAUUGGAUGAAUCGCCUCACUAGAACCAAUCAUCGGCUUUCAUAAUUCUAACAUUGGAUCUUCUUCCAAGCUUCCCACAACGUAGAAAUUGGUGAUUCAUCCCUGAUCAGUCAUCGUCUCCCUCUCGUGAUUUCAGGGCUAACCAAAUUGUUCUUAGUGCCGCUGAGCUCCGUCACAUUUCUGAUCUUCAAUUCAAUUCAUCCAGUGCCAGAAUUCUUAUUUGUUUAAGUGGCAGAUGCUGUUGAGGUCAUCUCUGAUUCUGGCAUCCUCAAAAAGUGAUGCAAUGUGUGUUCCAGGAAGAGGUUUUUGACCUCUUCUAACACUUUCUUUUGCAAAAAGAUCAACACAAAGAGCGGUGCGACAAAUGCAUGCUAAAGCAUGCAUGCGAUCUGAUUCUGCUCUUAGGUUUCUCACCAUGACGGAUUCUGAAAUGCUAGAGACCUAUUCAACUGCCCUUUUAGUUAGAAUGUUUGGCUGGGUAUGCUCAAGAUGCUUGAAAGUUACCAGAAUUGCACAUGUAGUUCAAUGAUCUGCCAAUGAAGCCGAGCAACGUCAUCGCUAAUUUGGUUGGGAUCUAUGAUUUAGUUGCCAUGGAAAAGUGGUGUUUACUGUUAGCUCAUCUUUCAGGGGUGAAGUACCAACCCUUUUGGUUCUUAAUGUCAUGAUGGUCUUACUGUUUUUGACACCGGUUACGCAGAAUACGUCAUGUGGAUAUGAAGCAUGACUUUGCCUUUGUGGAUUUCAGUGACCCACGGGAUGCUGAUAUUGCACGAUACAACUUAAAUGGUUGGGAUGUGGAUGGAAGUUGUAUUAUGGUGGAACAUGCAAAAGGGGUUCAAAGUAUGUUUUGUACAAGCUUAUGGCAAGUUGCUGGAAUGAUAGCAGGGCAAGUUGAAUGUACUUUUUGCUUUACUGAAAUUAAAGCAGGUCAAAUGUGGGAUAUAAAUAGCAGGCGACAAGCUUAUGGCUUAUUAAAAGUUGAUUGUGGACAUAAAUAGCAGCUUGAAUGUUUUUUCGUACAAGUCUAUGGUCUGUUAAAACAAGAGAAUGAUAGCAGGUAGUGUUUGUUUUUUGUACAAGUUUAGGUUGAUGGAAUGAUAGUAGUUUGAUUCCCCAUUUUCCCCAAACUUCUCUCUCACGAGCAAAUGAACCAAUUAAGAAAGGUUUUGUUAUUGAUU
rnacentral:lncRNA from 1 species